UCCUACGGGAGGCAGCAGUAGGGAAUAUUGCACAAUGGGCGAAAGCCUGAUGCAGCAACGCCGCGUGUGCGAUGAAGGCCUUCGGGUCGUAAAGCACUUUUCUGGGAGAUGAGAAAGGACAGUAUCCCAGGAAUAAGUCUCGGCUAACUACGUGCCAGCAGCCGCGGUAAAACGUAGGAGGCGAGCGUUAUCCGGAUUCACUGGGUGUAAAGCGCGUGCAGGCGGUUCGGUAAGUUGGGCGUGAAAUCUCCUGGCUCAACUAGGAGAGGUCGUCCAAUACUACCGGGCUUGAGAGCGGUAGAGGAAGAUGGAAUUCCCGGUGUAGUGGUGAAAUGCGUAGAUAUCGGGAGGAACACCAGUGGCGAAGGCGAUCUUCUGGACCGUUUCUGACGCUCAGACGCGACAGCUAGGGUAGCAAACGGGAUUAGAUACCCCGGUAGU
rnacentral:rRNA from 1 species